UCGUGCCAAGGCAUGUUUCAUGUGUGGUGUGGUUAGACAUCUCAAAAAGGACUGCCCACAGUCGAAGAAGGAGGAACCAAAGAGGGGUGACAACUUGCACUACACCAAAUACCCAUUUCCAUAACACAUGAAUAUAAUACUAAUAAAAAAGUGUUAUGCUAGAGUAUUAUAUUGGGCAUGAAAAAAGGGCAGUAAUAUACACCAUCCCGCCACUUAGCCUUUUUUUUUUCAUUACUGAGAACAGAAAAUUUGUGAGACCCGCCCCUUAGCCUUUUUUUUAUUCCUGAGACCAGAAAAUUUGUGAGACCCGAGAGACCCUUUGGCCAAAUCCUAAUUUCCUUUUGCUUCUCCCGGUUGUCGAGCCUGAUCGACUCGACUCUUUUCCCUGCCCCCCAGCCUCUCACUUCGUUUCGUUCUUCUUCUGUAUCGUCACUUGAAUGAAGACACCCGAUCGGCCCGACUUUCCCAAAUGUCCACCACCGGCCCUUCUCCUUUCCGGGUCUGGAUUUUUCGUGGUCGACGGGGAAGAAAGAAAUGAAUGAAUGUUCUUUUUGGAAAAUGUAGAAUAAUACAUCUACCGAGACGAAAGCCAAAGGUGAGUCACCCGAGAGACCUGAAAAUUCCUUUCAUUCAAUUCCUUCAACAUUUCUGAGACCCGAGACCUUCAAAGGCCAGGUUUUUCUUCUUUUCCUCUUCAUUUGUUUAUAAUGGUUUUCAUUUUAUUUUCUGUUCAGUAUAUGGGAUUUUAAAUCUUUUUCGUUUUGUUUUUUAAAUUGGUAAAUAGAGUUCUGGUAAAUCUUCGGUGUUGGAAAGCGUGGUGGGCAGAGAUUUCUUGCCUCGUGGAUCUGGUAUUGUUACGAGGAGGCCACUGGUGUUGCAACUUCAUAAGACAAAAGAUGGUCAGACUGAGUAUGCGGAGUUUCUUCAUGCUCCUAGAAAGAAGUAUACUGAUUUUGCUGCUGUGCGUAAGGAGAUCCAAGAUGAGACAGAUCGUAUUACUGGGAAAUCUAAGCAAAUAUCUAACAUUCCAAUUCAUCUAAGCAUAUAUUCUCCAAA